rnacentral:rRNA from 1 species
AUUGAACGCUGGCGGCAUGCCUUACACAUGCAAGUCGAACGGCAGCACGGGAGCAAUCCUGGUGGCGAGUGGCGAACGGGUGAGUAAAGUAUCGGAACGUGCCCAGUCGUGGGGGAUAACGUAGCGAAAGUUACGCUAAUACCGCAUACGAUCUAUGGAUGAAAGCGGGGGAUCGCAAGACCUCGCGCGAUUGGAGCGGCCGAUAUCAGAUUAGGUAGUUGGUGGGGUAAAGGCUCACCAAGCCGACGAUCUGUAGCUGGUCUGAGAGGACGACCAGCCACACUGGAACUGAGGAACGGCCCAGACUCCUACGGGGGGCAGCAGUGGGGAAUUUUGGACAAUGGGCGCAAGCCUGAUCCAGCCAUGCCGGGUGCAGGAUGAAGGCCUUCGGGUUGUAAACUGCUUUUGUACGGAACGAAAAGGUUUGACUUAAUACGUUGGACUCAUGACGGUACCGUAAGAAUAAACACCGGCUAACUACGUGCCAGCAGCCGCCGUAA